GAUGAAGAACGCAGCAAAAUGCGAUAAGUAAUGUGAAUUGCAGAAUUCAGUGAAUCAUCGAAUCUUUGAACGCACAUUGCGCCCGCCAGUAUUCUGGCGGGCAUGCCUGUUCGAGCGUCAUUUCAACCCUCAAGCACAGCUUGGUGUUGGGACUCGCGUUAAUUCGCGUUCCCCAAAUUGAUUGGCGGUCACGUCGAGCUUCCAUAGCGUAGUAGUAAAACCCUCGUUACUGGUAAUCGUCGCGGCCACGCCGUUAAACCCCAACUUCUGAAUGUUGACCUCGGAUCAGGUAGGAAUACCCGCUGAACUUAAGCAUAUUCAAUAAGCGGAGGA
rnacentral:misc_RNA from 1 species